AAGCUUGCUUCUAUGACGUUAGCGGCGGACGGGUGAGUAACACGUGGGCAACCUGCCUGUAAGACUGGGAUAACUUCGGGAAACCGAAGCUAAUACCGGAUAGGAUCUUCUCCUUCAUGGGAGAUGAUUGAAAGAUGGUUUCGGCUAUCACUUACAGAUGGGCCCGCGGUGCAUUAGCUAGUUGGUGAGGUAACGGCUCACCAAGGCAACGAUGCAUAGCCGACCUGAGAGGGUGAUCGGCCACACUGGGACUGAGACACGGCCCAGACUCCUACGGGAGGCAGCAGUAGGGAAUCUUCCGCAAUGGACGAAAGUCUGACGGAGCAACGCCGCGUGAGUGAUGAAGGCUUUCGGGUCGUAAAACUCUGUUGUUAGGGAAGAACAAGUACGAGAGUAACUGCUUGUACCUUGACGGUACCUAACCAGAAAGCCACGGCUAACUACGUGCCAGCAGCCGCGGUAAUACGUAGGUGGCAAGCGUUAUCCGGAAUUAUUGGGCGUAAAGCGCGCGCAGGCGGUUUCUUAAGUCUGAUGUGAAAGCCCACGGCUCAACCGUGGAGGGUCAUUGGAAACUGGGGAACUUGAGUGCAGAAGAGAAAAGCGGAAUUCCACGUGUAGCGGUGAAAUGCGUAGAGAUGUGGAGGAACACCAGUGGCGAAGGCGGCUUUUUUGGUCUGUAACUGACGCUGAGGCGCGAAAGCG
rnacentral:rRNA from 1 species